GAUGAACGCUGGCGGCGUGCCUAAUACAUGCAAGUCGAGCGAACAGAUGAGGAGCUUGCUCCUCUGACGUUAGCGGCGGACGGGUGAGUAACACGUGGAUAACCUACCUAUAAGACUGGGAUAACUUCGGGAAACCGGAGCUAAUACCGGAUAAUAUAUUGAACCGCAUGGUUCAAUAGUGAAAGACGGUUUUGCUGUCACUUAUAGAUGGAUCCGCGCCGCAUUAGCUAGUUGGUAAGGUAACGGCUUACCAAGGCAACGAUGCGUAGCCGACCUGAGAGGGUGAUCGGCCACACUGGAACUGAGACACGGUCCAGACUCCUACGGGAGGCAGCAGUAGGGAACCUUCCGCAAUGGGCGAAAGCCUGACGGAGCAACGCCGCGUGAGUGAUGAAGGUCUUCGGAUCGUAAAACUCUGUUAUUAGGGAAGAACAAAUGUGUAAGUAACUAUGCACGUCCUGACGGUACCUAAUCAGAAAGCCACGGCUAACUACGUG
rnacentral:rRNA from 1 species